UUGAUCCUCAGCACCAUAUUAAAAUAAAUAAUUAAAUGUAUUCUAUGGUGUUCAUCUACAAUUAAAAUUUUUAAAAAAAUUUUAUCUAGAGACAGGUUCUAUGUCGCAAAGGCUGACUUUAAACGUGUGAUUCUCCUUCCUCUGCCUCCUGAGUCAUUGAGAUUGAAGGUGUGUGCCACCAGGACAGUCUAAGAAGUAGGUUUCUUGGCUCUCUCCUGGAAUCUAGGCAAGGAUAUAGGAAUGUUUCUUUCCAGUGGAAGCUCAGUCCCAGCUACUCAGGAGGCUAAAGUGGGAGGAUCAUUUGAAGCCAGCCUGGACAACAUAGUAAAACUAUGUUAGUCUUAGAAGAAGAAGGAGCCAGGCACUGUGGAGCACCGGUGAAAUUUCUGUGGCUCAGGAAUCUGAGGCAGAAGGAGUUAAGUUCAAGGUCAGCCUCAGCAACUUAGUGAGGCCUCAAGCAACUUAGUGAGACCCUGUCUUAAAAUAAAAAAUAAAAAAGGGCUGGGGAUAUUUCUCAGGGGUUAAGUGUCCCUGAGUUCAAUCCCCACUAAAUGCUCCCCUCCCCAAAAAAAAGAAGAGAGGAAGGAUGGCGAUGAUGAUGGAAUGUAAAGUUCAGUGUAGAUAGCUUACCUAGCAUGCAGAAGCCCUAACACUGCAAUACAUACAUACAUACAUACAUACAUACAUACAUACAUAAUACUGUAAUAAAAUGUGUAUAACAAAAUUUAUCAACUUAGCCCUUUUUAAGGGUACCAUUCAAUAGAGUCUAGUACAUUCACAUUGUUAUGCAAUAAAUGUCCAGACCUCUUUUCAUGUUAAAAAAUUGCAACUCAUUAAAUAACUCAUUAUUCCCCUUCCUUAGGCCCUGACAACCACCAUUCCACUUAUUGUUCCUAUGAAUUUGACAGCUAUAGAGUCCUUAUAAAUGGUACAAUUUGGUAUUAGUUUUCUUUUUUGGUAAUUGUUUUAUUUUUUUCCCCCUUUGAUACUGAAGAUUGAACUUGGUCCUCUAGCAUGCCAGGCAAGUUCUUUACCACUGAGCUACACUACCAGAACCCCUUAUGGACUAUGAAUGGAGGGUUUUAAUAUUCGUGAUGUUGUUCAAAAAAAAUUUUUUUUCAUAUUUGUUCUAAUAUCCCUUUAUUGUGUGUAUUCAAGUCAUCUUAAUCUCAACUCUAUUAUCAGUUGAUGUAACUUCAAACAACCUAAAUCAGAGCUACUCAAAAUGUGGUCUGAAACUAGUCCAUUGUCUAGGAUAUUUGGGGGUGAAUUAGGGUGGGAAGAUGUGGGGAAUCUGCCAAUCUGAGUUUCUUUCUCGAGUUAAGAAAUGUUCUAAAAUUGAUUAUAGUGAUGGUUCCACCACUCUGUGAAUAUACUAAAAGCCAUUGAAUUGUACACUUUCAAUGGGUGAAUCGUAUGGUGUGCAAAAUACAUAUCUAAGAAAGCUGUUAAGAAAAGCAUCGCCUGAAAAUUAGUACCUGUCCAUGACAUAGAUACAGAAACACGUAAGUCCAGAAAUCGAGAGUAGGAUAUUUGAUACUUCUAUAGCAGCUUCACAGUUAUUUCAUAUAUAGUACCCUGAAAAAUUAUAAGAAAAAUCUGUAUAGGAAUUUUCUGUGCUUAUAUUUUCUCGUUUCAUUUUUUAAAAUGAAAUUGUACAAUUGUUAGUGUACAUUACAAAAAUAUCCAUGUUCCAAGUACUCGGGGAAAUAAACCUCAAUAACAGAGACACUGACCUAA